rnacentral:tmRNA from 2 species
GGGGCUGUAUUGGAAUUGACAUCUUGAUUAAUAUAUAAGUAAGCAUAUCGUGUAUAUGAAUCACGUAUUAAAAUUUCAUUAAAAUCUAUAAACGGCAAAAAAAAUUACGCUCUUGCUGCUUAAUCCUCUUUAAAAUCUAAGAAUAGGAAAGAUUGAGGUUCUAAAUCUUUCUAAGAACUAAGAACUAGAUUCUAAGUUAUAGAUUCUUAUCUCUAAACUUAGAAUUAAUUUGAAUUUGAUAAGAUAAAUAUGUAGAAAACUUAUAAUAUUACUUGUUUGGACACGGGUUCGAAUCCCGUCAGCUCCACAAAAA